UACGGAGGGUGCAAGCGUUAUCCGGAUUUACUGGGUUUAAAGGGUGCGUAGGCGGGUUGGUAAGUCAGUGGUGAAAUACUUUCGCUUAACGAAGGAACUGCCAUUGAUACUAUCAAUCUUGAAUACAGUGGAGGCAGGCGGAAUGCGUCAUGUAGCGGUGAAAUGCUUAGAUAUGACGCAGAACACCAAUUGCGAAGGCAGCUUGCUACACUGUUAUUGACACUGAGGCACGAAAGCGUGGGGAUCAAACGGG
rnacentral:rRNA from 1 species